AGUGAACGCUGGCGGUAGGCCUAACACAUGCAAGUCGAACGGCAGCACAGUAAGAGCUUGCUCUUACGGGUGGCGAGUGGCGGACGGGUGAGGAAUACAUCGGAAUCUACUUUUUCGUGGGGGAUAACGUAGGGAAACUUACGCUAAUACCGCAUACGACCUACGGGUGAAAGCAGGGGAUCUUCGGACCUUGCGCGAUUGAAUGAGCCGAUGUCGGAUUAGCUAGUUGGCGGGGUAAAGGCCCACCAAGGCGACGAUCCGUAGCUGGUCUGAGACGAUGAUCAGCCACACUGGAACUGAGACACGGUCCAGACUCCUACGGGAGGCAGCAGUGGGGAAUAUUGGACAAUGGGCGCAAGCCUGAUCCAGCCAUACCGCGUGGGUGAAGAAGGCCUUCGGGUUGUAAAGCCCUUUUGUUGGGAAAGAAAAGCAGCAGGUUAAUACCCCGCUGUUCUGACGGUACCCAAAGAAUAAGCACCGGCUAACUUCGUG
rnacentral:rRNA from 1 species